rnacentral:lncRNA from 1 species
UAUAUAUAUAUAUAUAUAUAGAUAGAGUGAGGCUACUAUACUAUCGGAAGCACAGAGCCUUCCGUGCUUCUAGCUCGUUUUCGAUGUUGCGACUUUCGAAUCGUCGAUCGGCUCCGUUAAACUUGAUCUAGAGUAUUUGAAGUACCUAGAAAAUAAAUUUUAUGAUUUUACGAUAUCAUUUGCCUAGUGAACAAAGGGGCUCAAAAUCAACGGCUGAAAAUAAAAAUCUUACAAAAUGUAAUAAUAUGACAUUAAAAUUUUAAAUCAAAGAUAUUGAUCUUGUUUUAUAUAGUAUAAAGAAUUUUCUAUCAAAAUUUCACGUGAUUUGAAUAUUUCUACACCGUUAAACUUGCAAACGGCUCACUACGGCCAUUGAAAUUUGUUGAUUUUGAGCGAUCGUAGGCAAAUGAUAUUCGAAAAAUAAUAAAAUCUUAUUUCUAAUGGUACCGCAAUAAUCUAUUGAUCAUAUUAAUCGAGCCGAUCGCAAUUCCGCAGAAGUCACAACAUGAAGAAGAGCUGAAGACAGAAGGCUCCGUGCUUCAUAGCAUAGUAGCCUCACUCUAUAUAUAUAUAUAUAUAUAUAUAUAUAUAUAUAUAUAUAUCAUACAACAGAAUUAGGUUAUAGGGACACAUAUUUGGGACACUUUUAAGUAAGUGUCCCAUUUAUACUAAAACUUAAAAACACGUCUACUAAUGCCUAAAUAUAAAGCCCAAUCCAACCAAAAAUAAAAAAUUACUCUACUCAACCCACCACAUCCAGUCCAUUUGGUCCGAUUACAAACAGAAAAGAAAAAAAAGAAAAAUCAAUUACCAUCUUUUCUUCUCUCUUCACUCAAUCCACUGAAAUUCUAGACGAAUAGUCUUUACUGUCGUCCUCCUCCGCCACCGCAGCCAACGAGAUAGAGUUUCGACUGUUGCUAAAUGCUUAAAUAAGUAUUGGUAAAUUAGCAUGAUUCUUUUAGGUUAUAGCGACACUUUUUAACUGUCACUAUAUACCUAGCGACCCCACAUAUAGAAAUACUUUUUAAAAGUGUCGAUAAUUUUAGCUAGCAGCACUUUUUUGAUAUGUACCUACAGUUAAAAGUGUCGCUAUAGACCAUUUUUGUUGUAUAUAUAUAUAUAUAUAUAUAUAUAUAUAAAGAGAGAGAGAGUNNNNNNNNNNNAUGUUUAAAAUAAUAUUCUUGAAAAUAAAUCCUACAAACUUUCUUUGCAAAGGUUUGAAAGAGUACUAUAUCGUUUACGACUGUGAACUUUUUUCAUGGCGGAUACUUGCAAUUCUAAAAAUUAAAAGACUUCGAAAUUAUAUAGUCCGAUAUAGAGUAACUGUGCACUAUAUAUAUAUAUAUUAUAUAUAUAUAUAUAUAUAUAUAUAUAUAUGCCUUUCGUGAAUUGCAGCAACUAGACAAUUUCAAAGUUGCAUCUUAGCUUAUUAGAAAAAAAAAAAAAAAUUGUAAAUUUCACGAACAAGAAUAUGCUACAACAUCACACAUAUACAUAUUUCUUAAAAGUAAUAAAUUAAUUAAUUGUAUACGUGCCUUUAAUUUCGAAAUAAUUGCUACUUUUUAUCAGAUGAUCAUGAAGCUCAAAAAUCCUGGCUCCAUGAAGCUCUUCUAACGGUCAAAAAGGUCAAACUCAACACUAAGCUCUAUGAGCCACGUGACAAUGCGACUGCCAAUGAAUUAAUGACACGUGGCACCUAGCUGGUUGACUUGGUCAAGGUACAAUCCGAGGUCAUGGCAUUCCACCAGGUUGGCCGACCCCCGGCCGCCGCCGCCGCCUCCUCGCAGCCGCAGCUCCCGUCCGACGUCGGCGUACGCCCACCCCAGUGCCGUCGUCGCCCUCCGCCACCACCUGCCGCCGCCGUCGUCCUCCGAUUCCACCACGAAGCCCGGCACUUUGGUCACGACAUCGCCGGCGUUCACUAUCCGCAGCACCUUGCACCCACUCCCCUCCACCCUCCGCCGGAACCCCUCGUUCCCGAUCCGCGGUCCGCCGAACGAUAUCGCCGUCACCAUCGCCUUGCGGUCACUGCUGCCCCGGCAAAAAGUGUCGGCAAUGUCGUGCGCAGCGAGCACCGCGAGUGCGGCGCCGAGGCUGUGCCCGGUCACCGUGAAGCUCAACGGGUACGCAUCCGCUGUCGCAGUCGCCGCCGCCGCGUCGACGAUCCGUCCCACCUCCUCGCGCACCUGCGCCCGCAGGCUGCCAUGCGGAGCGACUGCGGUCGUGAAGAGGUUCCAGAAACCGCGCUCCACCAUCGGCUCCGACACAUUGUCGGAAGUGCAGCCAUCCAAGCCAGUGAGAGAAGUUUGGGAGUUCUCGAUCCACUCAAGGAAGGUGGCGGUGCCGCGGAGCGCGAUAACGACGUCGCGGCGGCCGAGCCGGGCGAUUUCGGCCUCGUCCCUGCAGGCCGCGAUGUACCCGAUCCAGCUCGACCGCCGCGAGAGCGCCGAGGGGGCUCCGGCAUCGGCUAUCCAUCGAGGAACUGCUGCGGCAGUCGUGGCGUGGAGGUGGCGCGUGACGCGGUAGCCGGUGCGGGACAGGCCUGCGCGGCGGAGGAGGGAGUGCUUGGGGAAGCGGCAGGCGGCGUAGGACGGGGAGCAGGGGUCGGUGUCGAAGGCGGAGUAGGCGGCACGGACAAAUUCGCCGUAGCGGAGGAUCUCACGGCGGAGGGUGUCGUCGAGCGGGUCGAGGAGGCGGGCCCAGUCGUCGGCGCCUUGGUACUCCGCCCACCGCCUCCCGAUCCUCGCGGUGGAGCGGCCGCGGAGUGUCGACGGACCCGAAGGGGAGGAGGAACACUUGAUCAGUGGAGAUGAGCAAUGGUGAGAUGAUAGAGAAGUUGGUGAGGACCAACCUCUCCAUACACAAAGCUUCAUCUUUUAUUCUACUUAAUUAGAUUCUAUUUUGUACUUGAAACAAUAUGUUGUACACUUUGUAGAAGAUGAUGUGUGUGUAUAGAUAUAUAUAGCUUGUGCAUGUGCAUGUGCAUGAUACGUGGGGGGGCAAAAAUAUGGGUGCAUGGGGAGGGUUCGACGCGCCGAAAAGGUAAAAAAAGAGUGGCUUAGAGGAUCCAAUUGAUGCGAUGCAAUAACAAAAUAACUUUUUGGGAGGGACCCUCUUUAAUUUCCAACAUUUUUGUGCCCAAGAAGUAUGAUUAGAAGAAUAAUAGAGUUGAGCACAUGUGCUUUUAAAAACAUAGUAAGUAGUAUUUGCGCUUAUGAUUUUUUAAUUAGCUGUUUGAUCACUUCAAGAUCCGUAUAAAAAUAUUAAUGAUAUGUCAUUUUAUUAGGAUUAUAUAGACUUAAGGUGAUAAUUGGUGGUUAAAAAACUAUAAACACGUUGAGCUCUCCUGCUUUUAAAAACAAAGGAGCUUAACUCUAGAAGGAUAUACAUUUUUUGUUACUAAUAAACAGCAAAAAUAAUAAAUAAAAGUUUAUUGCAAGGAGCUGCACCUAAUAAAUACCCUUUCUAAAAGGAGGAAUGUUACAUAUAUAUUAAAAAAAUGAGUAUAAAUUUUAUAUUUCACCUAUUAGGAGAUUUAGAUAUCUCUUCUAAAUUUAUAAUAUUAAAGAAAGAGAUUAAUAAUAUUAGCGUGAAUAAAGUAAUCCUUCGAUAGGAGGAUAGGCUUUUAAUAUUAAAAAAUUGAUAAGAUCAGUGUGAAUAAAGUGAUUCUUAAAUAAGAGGUGUAAAAUUUACGCUCAAAUUUUGCUUGCAACAGUUAUGUCGUGAUAACAAUAUCCCAUUGAAGAGUUUUAUGUUGCGCAAAAUGCAAAAUCAAAAUUAUUUUAAAUAUUAUUUUAAUGUGAAAUUAUAAUAUUGUCUUAUUAUUAGGCCUUUCACUAUCUCCUAUAGUACAAUAGGAUUGAUUUAAUAUAUACCUUACAUAGUAUAAUUGUUAUAAAGAAUGUUUUUUCCUCUGUAUUAUGCACUUCAUAUUCAAUAGCAAUUAUGAUAAAUAUUUAUUCAAAUAAUGGUGAAGAAAAAACUUGUUCUUGUUGAGAGUUCACAUAUGAAUUACUCCAUGUCGGAUAAUUAUAAGAGAGUAAAAGAGCUAAUACAUGCUAGUAUGCUCAGCUUAAGAGGCUUAGGUUUUCAGAUUGAAUGUGUUUCAUUAGAUAUAUCACGUUCUUUGACUCGUGUGGGGAUGAGCUUGGCCUAGAACUUCCUAACAAUUCUGGUACGUUUUACGUUAGAUAAUAAGAAAAAAAAAUUGCAUCUAAGAUAAUACUUUAUUUUCAAAGUUUUUCAAAAGAUAAUUUUACUUUUUAAGAGUUUGUUUCAGAUAAAAGAGUGCACUGAAAAGCUAUUCCCUAAACUUUCUAUCAUGACCGUACGUAUAUCUUACUUUUCUGAUGAUUCUAUUAUAUCCAGAUAAAUAAUCUAAAAAUAAUGAUCUAAGAAGUUAGAAAUUCAAUUUAAAGUGAAACUCAAGGUCAGGAUAGACCUCAAUUUAAAUUCAAAUAAAUAUUUUGCAUAACUAUUGUGAAAAGAAGCACCCACGGAGCUACGAUUUGUGACAUUCCGAGGCUUGAGAUAGACCCACAUUGGAUAGCUAUGGCUAGGUGUGAAGUAUAUAAACUUGAAUGAGCUAAACACAAUAACUGAGCUAAAGUAUUUUGGGCUGGUGGUUUGGACCUGAGUUAUUAUUGCUAGUAGACAGAAUCAUUAUAUUUUGUGUCAAAACUGAAUAUUAGAUGAAGGUCGAGUCGUUGCAUGAUCAUCCAACACACUUCAGUUUCUAUAACCUAAAUUGGAAAAAAGGAAAAAAAAAAAAAAAAAAAAAAAAAAAACAUGAUUGAAAAUAUCUAAGAUAGAUAAAAAUAGAGUUGAUGUUUUGAGGAGAAAGAAAAUGAGGACACUUUACCUCACAAUCAAUUAAUUAUGGAAUGACACCAAAGAGUGUGGCUACAUCUGCAUCUGACCAUGGAUAGUGGGUGCAUAAAAGAGUGUUGGUUUAUAGCUUUAUUGAAGUAGAAAUUAUUCAAUAUAUAAUUAAGCCUUUUAAAGUGUGGUAAUGCAUAUUUGAAAUUACUAAAUUUAGAUUUAAACUUAGGGUUUUAUGAUGUCUAUUUUUGAGUUUUGUAGACCAUAGGUAUUACAAAUAUAAACCCAUUUGAUAUGACUAUCUAAUCUUUAAAAGUUUUAAUUUUAUUGUGUAAAUAUUUUUAUUUAUUUGAUUUAAGUCAUUUUAUGAUUGUUUUUUCACGUUAUAAUUUGACUGUGUUGUAGAGUAUGUCAUACGGUUCAGAUGACUACUUUUCAAUUAAAACAUACAAUGCAUGCAAAUAUCUACCUAAAAUAUCACCAAAUGGUUCAAAUCAAAAUAAUUGAAAGCUUUAUAAAAUUGAAUAGCUUAAAGUUUAGGUGGUCAUUGUCAGAAUAGUACAUAAGUUAAGUAAGUUUUAUGUAGGGCUAUUAACGAGCUGAACACGAGCUGACUCGUUUAAAAAAUCAAGCUGAAAAAUUCAGCUCACGUUCGGCUUGUUUAGUAAUGGCUUGUUUAUUAAGCGAACAGUAAGUUAAAUUGUCAACUCUAUUACUUGAUAAAAUAUUGAAAAAAAAAAAAUUAGAAUUAAUCUUAAUCUAAUAAUUAAAAUUCACAAAAUAUAAAGCCUUUUAUGAUCUAAAUAGUAAAACGGUAUUGAUGUAAAGGCUAGUAGCAAUUAAAAGGAUUGAUUUGAAUACGAAAAAGUUAGAGGUAACAAUGGAUUAAUACUUCUAGAAGUAUUCUACCUCACCCCUAUAUAUAUAUAUAUAAAAUUAGGCUGGAAUACUAUUAAUAGUAAAACACUAUUUUUGCUAUCAAGUUUUUAAUCCUUGAAUGAAAAAUUAUAGGGUCGGGAUGAUAUUAGUCGGUUAGAGUUGAGUGGUCCCCCUAGGGUUGCGUGGUCCCCACUGGGUUAUAGUAUUUAAUCCAAUGGUUAGAAAUAAUAAAAAGAGUUGAUCCAAAGGCUAAAAAACUGGUAGCAACAAUGGAAUUUUGCUACUAAUAGUAGUCCAAUCCAACUCUCUCUCUCUCUCUCUCUCUCUCUCUCUCUCUCUCUCUCUCUCUCUCUCUCUCUCUCUCUCUCUCUCUCUAUAUAUAUAUAUAUAUAUAUAUUCGAGCAAUAUUGAACCGAACACGAAUGAGCUGGCUGCAGCUCGUAUUCGGCUUGUUUAUUAAACAAAUGAUCAUUCUCGAGCUCAUUUAAAGUUGAACACGAGCUGACUCGCGAACAACGAACUGGAUUGUCAAACUUUAGGAAUGGGUGCCCUCCGGGCAGGCAUCUUUAGAGGGAAAAAAGCAAUAUCGAGCCGAACACGAACAAGUGAGCUGACUCCAGUUCGUGUUCGGCGCUUUGUUAUUAAACAAACGAUUAAUCAUAAGCUUGUUUCAAGUCGAAUACGAGCUGACUCGCGAACAGUGAGCUGGAUUGUCGAACUCUAGGAAUGGGUGCCCUACAGGCAGGCAACUUUAGAAGGAAAAAAAAAAAAAAAAAAACGCAUGAUUUUGACACAAGGUACCAGGUGCCUGCUCGUGCUAAAUGGACCCUUGUACACUUGCGGCAGGAGCUUUUGGGCGAAGCAGUUUUGGGGAUGACAAAUUUGGAAUUGGGCCACAUUUAACAUCAACUGUUCUCGCAAAUCACACGUGUCCCAAAUGGAACAAGUUUGGUGAGUUUCACGUGUGAAAAUCCUUUUACUUCGCACAGCUAAAGCUAGUAGGAAAGGGUCCUACUUAUUCUUAACUCCAUGUUUACUUGUUUGGUUAUAUUGUAGUUAUUAUAAUUAUAUCUGCAUACAAAUUUAAUUCUGAUGUUUAGUUUAUGCAUUUAAAUUUAGUUGGAAUUGCGUGAGAAGGCCCAACUGCAGAUCUUAGAAUUAUGUCCAAAUUUGUCGCAUUUUCAACUACAACCACUUGGAAUGAGUAAUCAUAAACAAAAAAACAAACGUAUCUUCUAAAUCUUCAUAUAUACAUAUAUAUAUAUAUAUAUAUAUAUAUAUAUAUAAAAUAAUAAAAUUUUAAAAAUAUACUUUUUCAUUGCAUGAAAUCAAAGAAAUUAUUUAUAAUUGCACUGUUUUCUACUACAUUAACCAAAUUUAGAUAUAUGUAAUUAUAUCUACUACAUUUUUAACUACAGUUCUAAUUAUAUCGGGCCAAAUGGGCCCCAAUAUAUUGUGAGAAAGUGUGAUGAAUUGUUUUUAUAAAUAACAACAUGUCAUGUCGAUCGUAACGAUUUGAUUAGAAUACAAUUAAUAUUUGCAGUUUCAUCGAAAAAUGAAAAAACAUCUCGAUCUUUAUAUAAUUUCACUGUACUUUAUUGAUGCCAAUAGCUUUAGCUAAUCGGCUUUCAAUAUUAUACAGACCUUUGAUAAAGUUUAGCUUUUCAGAAGCUCUCCGAUGAUAGUGAAAAUUUGCGUCAAAAAUUUUGAAGAUUCCUACCACCAUUUUAUAGCAAUUGAAUUGAUUUCUAAAGCGCUCAACUAUUUUUCUUGGUAAAAAUAUGCUAAACUAAUAUCAACUUUUGGGCUAAUAUAAAAUUGACUAUUCACGAUCUUGUUUGGCUUUGCUGUUAUUUUUUAAUUUUUUUUAACAUAAUUAUAUGUAGCUAGCUAGAUAUGCCAGCAAACAGGACUCCUACAUAUUUUCUCCCAACACUUCCACAUAGAAUUCCUGCUUGAAAAAAAAUUGAAGAGAUAACAACAAUAUGGAACAAAUUAAGACUAGUAUUUGCAAAUUUUGAAUUCACUAUCUUACCUUUCAAUUCUUCUAAUUUGAGUUUUUUUUAUGGCUCUAAAAUAUUUUGCAUAUACCUCACCCAUUAGUCCAUCCACGCACUCUAUAUUUAUUUGUCAUUCCUCAUAUUUGAUAAGUUCAAUCUCUGCAUGUCAAUAAAUUAUAGUUUUUUUCGAUUUAAAACUGGAUGGUUAGUGUUAGGAAUCCAAAUGAAUCUGGUUUGGCGGAGCUUCUGUCCCAAUCUACUCCAAAAGGGAAAAUAUUUGAAAGAUAAUAGUAAAUUUAGGCAGUAAAUGAAGUCUUUUUUAUGAUCUGCGGAGGAUUCGGAGAGAAAGAUGAUGAAAAAUUAAUUCGCUUCAUAAUAUGCCCUGAAUAAAGAUUUAAAUUGUAGAAUUUUUUUUUCGAAUAUUAUUUGAGUUUUAAAUAUUAGUUAUUCCUAAUAUACAUAUAAUGUGAAAAAUAGUUGCUUUUAAUUAAACUAAUAAAAUUUCAUUAUUUUACAUUUUAUUUAAUUGAACUAAUAAAAUUUAAUUACAUUCAAUUCAAAUUUGUAUAAAAAAUAGAAAGAAAAAAAAAAUUUGUGGGGGCGCAUUCAGGGUGACAGGCCUUAAGUGAGUUUUUAGGCAAAGCAGAUUAUGAAAGAAAUAUUUACUCCCAUACAGGGGUAGGACAACCAUACUUGGUUGAGGAUCUUCUUAAUGAGUUCUUAUUAACACAGUUUGGCGAGCCGUAUAAUUCAUAGCACCUGUGAAUUUUAAAGGUCUAUUUCAAUAUAUCUUGAAGGUUUUUACUGAAUCUUAACAUCAUAUUGAAUUUUCGAUUCUGCUAUAGGAAGGAUCUAUCGACACAAUUUUUUGUGUAGUGCUUUUUUAACAGCACUUCUUAAACAACACUUCAUCAAAUAGUACUGUAUCCUACAGUAUGGCCGAUAAAGCCCUGAGUAUCCAAAAACACCUUCACAACUCAAAGAAACCCAAGAAAUCAUUUGAACGGCUGUUAACAUUUAAAAGCUAGAAAGAAACGUUUUGUACAGGGAACAGAAAUUUCUACAACUCUUAUGCAGUUUCAGAAAAGAGAAGAGAGAAGAGAUAAGACGAUGAUCGAGAAGGGCAGAGUUACAGUGCUGAAGCUAAUCUUCCUCGAAGUAUUUCUCCUCGGCGUCAUAGUUUGCUUCCCUGACCCAAUGAUCGUCCAGUCGUUCAUCGUUGUCGAUCUGGGAAUAGUCGAAAUGCUCCGUGUCUUCUCCUGCCAGGAACUUCUGCUGCAUUAUCAGCGUGAACUGCUCCAGCUGAUCCUGCAUCUCUUCUCCAGAUAAUGUCUGCUGGAAGUCCUCCGUAGCCUCACCCUCGGCGCCACCGGUGUUUGAUUCCCGCCCCUCGUCAAGAGGCAUCUGUACACAGCAAGCAGCACAAAGUUUUCUUUGUUAAGAAACAUUUCUACGUAUUCGCCAGCCAAAAAGCAUCAACGAACAAGUCGCCGUGCUAAUCCGAAAAUACCAAACAGAAGCUUUGAAUAUAGCCGGAGAGGCAAGCACAGUAAAAAAUAGCCCAUGCCCACAAUGAAUGCGCGUCGAACUAUAAUUGACAUUUAUAAAUCAGUAAGCAAAAUAGACUCAAAAGGAUCUUUAAAAGAAAAUUGAGAAGAAUGGCUGACAGCUUACAGAGUCGUCCUAUCUACAAUAUUUGACAAAAAUAAAUUGCUGGCUGCUAUUUACAAAGACGAAUUGCCAAUUGCUACCCAAAACAGGUAACAUGGCUACGCAGCUUAAGUUCAAAAUCCCAACACAUCCAGGCGAUCCUCUACAAUUACACAUUAACAACUAAUUCUGAAUAAACAGGAGCCUAUAAACAUGUAGCCCAAACCUCAGAAACUAUUGCCGUCGCACAUCUGCUGCUCAUAGUCAUUUUGUAGUUACAAAGGAAUCUUUAAUCACCUUCACUAUUUCCUGAUGUGGAACUAUCUUACUAUCCUUUCUCUUCAACCAGUUAAAUAUGAAUGAUGCUCCGCCCGUUUCAUGACAAACAGUUUGAUUGCUCUUCUCUAACUAAGAUUACCGUAAAGAAAUACUAAAUUUGAUCUGCAAGCACUCAUAAUUAUUGGAUGCAAAUCACUUAUUUUCCUUAAGAUAAACCAUUUUAAUCUAUAACGACGUGGCCAGGAGCACAGAAUAUGGUGAGACAUGUCAUGCAAUAUCAACAUGACAUUCCUUGAAUUAAAUAGGCAUGUGCAAGGUAAACGAACACAUAUAAUAUGCAAACGACGCAAAAUCCGGACACUAUAUAGACAAUAUUUCUCAAAUUUAUAAAUAUAUUAUUGUGGGCUUGAUGAUAAUCACUACUCUGUUCUUCAACAAUUUAGGUAUCAUCAAAACAGAUGUUUGAACAAAAAAGGAAAAUCACAAGGAUUUACAUGGAGAGAAAAAUCCGAAAGGCACACGCUGUACUAUGGUUUUUUUUGGCAAUGUUAACUCUAGUCAUGCAUCAAAAGGACAAGAUGCAUGGAAGAGUCGCUAUACUUUCAUGAUACAGUGAUUAGGACCUCUAACUUUUUUACUUUGAAUAAUUCAGUCCUCAAGAUGAAUUAAAAAUAUACAAAUUUGGGACAUGGAUUGACUACAUGGGAAAGUUUGGUGACUGAAAUGCCUAACUGUAAAGUUUAGGAACUAAGUCGCUAUAUUCACAAAAGUACAUGGACUAUCCAUAUCACUAUAGUCACAAAUGUACAGAGACUAUCUAUAUAUUUUAACCCUCCAUUAAAUAUGACAGAUCAUAAUUCACUAUAAUCCUUGAUAGAUAUAAACAUAUGACCUGCUAUCAUUAACUGAAAGGUAAAAAUAGUACGACAAAGAAACGUCCUCAGAUUCAUGACAACCAAAAUUUGGAUGUCUUUAUUCCAUUAAACAUAUUAUGUAUACAAGAUGCUAUCAUUGUCUUAAUAAAAGAAAUGGUUCCCACAAAGUUCUUUUGAGGAAGAGAGACACACCAAACCAUGAAUGUUUCUAAGCUAAAUUUACAUUUUUUAUUAUGUCCUGACAUCGAGUACUGGAAAGACUCAAAGAAGCAACACAAAAUUUCUUGGUUGGAGUUAUAUGUCAUCAAAUAUGAUCUAAGUAUUUCUACAGGCAAAACUAACAGAUUUAGGAUGCCCUUUCCCUUUGCAUCAAGCCAUCAACUCGACAAAAAUAAUGUUUAAAUUGAACAACCUAGGGAUUUCCAUCUGAUAAUCAGUUCGCCAUUCUUGAUUUAGGCAUUAAAUGCUUUUUACCAAACUUGUUUCAAUUAAUUUAUAUCCUUUAGAACUUGGACAAACUCCUCCUAUCUGCUUGAAUAGUACGAUUCUUCGUUUCUAGGCUAAAUUACAAAAAACACACCUGCAGUUUCUUCUCUUUCUUCAUUUGCCAAACUGCAUCUUAAAUUGCAUCUACUUUAGCCUUGCACUCACUCUCAUUCAAAAUAGAUUGAAAAUAUUGGGAUAACUGAUAAAUUAAAUGCAAAACAUUGCAAGCAUGAGUUGGGAUAUAACAAGGAUUCUAUAUAUGGACAGUUAUCAACCUUCAGACCUAAAAUAAAUCUAGAAUUAAAAAAUAAAAGGAAAAAGAUCUACUUCUCUACAACAGCAAGAAACAAAUUGGACAACCAUUUUACAGAUUUAAGAUGGUUCCGAGCAGACCAAUAUAUUCAGAAGACUGGGACUCACCGCAGUAAAAGUGUUUGACUACUAUUUUGCAAGACUUCUCUGUAUCAUCUCCAAGCUCAAGGGAUUAGCUCCCCACCACACUCAUGAUCAUUCUGUCCACAUUAUUCCAGGUUCCGCUAACAGUGAAUGUGAGGUUCAAGUCCAACUCUGGGUACCAUACUAUACACGCACAAGAUGGUUUUUUGGACACAUAAUAGUCACCAUGGGCUUCUUGUCAUGCAUUUUGGCUUGACUAAUAAUCUAUCGCCUUCUCACUUUGGUGAACACUGUUUCUACACUUUUCCUCAAACACUUACAUUAAUAAUCUUGGACCGCCUUGUCUACAACUAAUUUUAGGAGGACCAAAUGGCACAUUUGCAUGCGACAUACAGAGACAACGAAGUUUCAGAGGGAAUAUUUGGCCCACAUUUCAAUUUGAUUUGAAUUGCUCCUCAUUACAGAAUGUCAUAUUUCCUAAUUGCAAAGGAACUUUGACAAGAACAAUUAAUAUUGACAAGAACCAUUAAUUGUGAGGGCUAUGAAAGCACACUUUCAUCUUCUUUCCUAGUCUCUUUAGUUUUCUUUGAUUGGUUCAGAAUACAAUUUGGAAUUCACAAUCUUUUUUCGUAUUUAACAAAGGACUUUAGUAUUUCUUUUUUUAAUAUGUGAGGCUACAUUCGACCUUGAUCCCGUAAAUUCUCCUUAAGUUGUGCAUAGAAAUAACUAACAUAAUUUUGUUUCUACUAUUAGCUAUUUACAAAUCACAAGAUGCUUAUUAGUUCUACUAAUUUUUACCAUACCUCAUUAGCUGGACAGAUGAUAAAUUAGCAACAAAAGAGAGAACACAGGAUAACACUACAGCAAAAUGGUUAUGCAACCAAAAUAGCAAGUCCUAUGCUAACUAUUUUAACAGUCCUCCUGCAAUUUUAGAAGAUCAUAUAGAUCCUACAAUUAUCAGUGUGUUUUUCUUUUAAAAGAAGCCAUCUCCCCAAAAUUAACUAGAUAAACAUUAGUUAAUAUGGGUGCGUUUGGAUUGACGAAUCGCUAUAACUAACAUACUAAAGCGCAAUGGUGUUGUUUUGACGUAACUCGUACAGUCUAAAAGUUGAAUUCAAUCACUUCUUCUAUUUGUUUUGGUGUAACUUGAUGUUGAUGAAUUUAGUUUUUUGAGUUACAUUGUUUGUUUUGAUGUAUGUAAGUGGGUCUCAUUAUCUCCUAAAUAUAGUGAUAAAUUUAUCCCUAUAAAAUCCAACCUAUUAAAUAAUUAAAUUCCUCAUUAUUGUUUGGAAAUAAUCUUAAACCAUUGUAAAAAAAAAAAAAAAAAAAAAAAAAAACUCUAACCUGUUCUAAAGGAAAUAGAGUAUCGGUUUUAAUAUUUAAUAAAUUUUUUGGAGAAACUUGAGUGUGGUGGAACUUGAGUUCGGUACUCUAGAGAGAGAAGUCAAGACUCAAGAGUAGGUGAAGUGGAGGUUUAACGUAACUUGAAUUAUAUAUAUUUUUUUUUAUUUACAACAAAACAAACACCGGAAGUGAUGGAACUUGAGUUCCACCCCUCCACUUACACCAAACUAAACAGCCCCUAUACGUAUAAUUGGAGUUUGAGUUUGUUCCGCUCAGAAAAACCGUCACUAAGUGGCUAAGACGAUUCCUCCGUGAUGUUCUAAUUAGUAAACAUCCUUUACCUCUUAUAAAAAUCUUUUGAGCUAAGCAUAAAUGACCGCAUAAUUGUAAGACAUAAAAACAUAAGAGAGCUAAUCAAAGAAAGCAUAAUAUACUAAUAUCAUAUUAAAUCUUGUAGCAAUUUUGUUGAUUAAUCAAUCGAAAGUCGGUGCAGUUGCCUUAAAAUCAUCAGGGUCAAUAGGGCUAAGCCCACACUCCUAAGUCAAAAGUUUUAAAUGCUAAAUCAGUUGAAGUUAAAAGGAUGACUAGUUCUUGAGCUGAGCCCUUCUUUCUCAUCAAUCCUAUAGUAAUGGUGCAUGCUGCCUAAAAGAUAAAGAAUUAGUAAGAUUUGAACUCUUAAAAAUUAGGAGACCCAUAAAAGCAAGGUUCUGUACUUCUGUACUACUUGGCGAUGCCAUUAGCAGGUCAUAAUGAAUGCGUCAGGCAUGGACAUGAAUAUUGAGUUGCGUCCCAAAUCCGAACAUGAUGAAUUCAUGCAAACUUCUCGCUAAGUUCAUUUUUAGUCCGACAAAAUGGUCGGUGAUUUUAAACAAUCGAAUUCCCGAAUCGUGUGUUCUUUGAUUCUCAACAAGGUAAUUCCCUUUUAUCUAAAAAUCUAGACAUACAAAUUUUGUCCAAUAGAAUAACAUAAUAACUUCAAAAAUGGUAUGCUUGUGUAGGCUUAAGAAAUAGUACCUUUGCUGCUUCUUCCUCUUCCUCUUCCUCCUCCUCCUCUUCUUCUUCCUCCUCCUCCUCUUCUUCCUCCUCUUCCCUUGCGCACCCACCGACCCACUCUCUCCUAUCGACGCCUCGCCUCUGCUGCUCGCCUCUGAUCUUCUCGACGAUCGCCGCCUCCUCGCAGCGCCGCAGCAGCGUCUCCAACCACCGCUCACCGGGCCGGGACAUCGCCCGCCCCGCGGGGUCCUGGAACUGCCCCAGAUACUCAUGGUGGAGGUACGGCUCCCGCUCCCGCAUCGCCUCCUCGGAGAAGUACUCCCCACCGCGCACCAGCCGCUCCAUGUACGCCCUCCGCCGGUUCUUCACCGUCGCCAGCCGCGCCCGCGUCUCCUGGACCGUAGGCGUCUCCCGCACCCGCCGAAGCCGCGCGAGGUGCCACGCCACCUCGUAGUCGUUGCCGAGGGCGUCGAACGCGUCGAGCUCCUCGGCCGUGAGCUCGGAGCCGUAGCGCUCUGAUCGAGAAGAGGAGAGGUUUCGAUUUAGAGAGUUAGGGUUAGGGUUAGCGUUAGGGUUAGGGUUAGGGGUUGGGAGCGGGGAGCGUACCGAGGAAGAGAGGGGGGUCGCGGGAGAGGAGGUGGAGGAGGGCGGAGUGGCGGAGGGAGGAGGGGUCGGGGGCGCCGCCGCGGUGGAUGGCGCCUGGGAAGUAGAGGCCCUGGAUGGCAGACAGCCGCGCCGCGAUGCCCUCCAUCGCCGACCGCUCCAUGGUUUGCUGGCCUGGCUGCGCCGCUGGCACUUCUGGACGCGCCGUUCAGGGCAGACUGCUAAUAUUUACAAUUCAAUUAAUUAAUAUUAUUAUUUAUCCAGCUACUGCACUCUUAUUAUGAUUAUUAUAUAAUAUAUACUUCUUUUUAUACUUAUAAAUUUUUAAAAUAUUUUAUUUUUAUAAUUAUUUUUAUUUUACUAUUCCACAAAUCAUCUGCUCAAUUUGUAAAAUCGCUAUUAUUCUAACUGUAUAUUUUUUUAUUCAACGGUCGAAAACUUAUGAUUACUAGCGCAGUAACCCGCGCGAUGCUGCGGAAAAAUAUUAUUAUAAUAAAUUUUUAUCAUAUCUACUGAAUUUUGUGUUUUAGAGCGUAAACUAUUUUUUCAUCUUUCAAAAUACCAAAUUUUGCUCAUUUUUCGACUUAUUUUUGUAAUAUUCAACAUAUAACUUUGAUUUUUUUACUGCAAAUUUUGCUAGUUUUUUCCCUCCAUAAUUAUACUGUUUGAUUUUAUUCUUCCUCUGAUUCUAAUUUUAAAACUUAUUCUCUGUAAAUAAGUAAAAACAUAUACAUUAAAUUUGAAAAUCUUAUCAAAACGUAACUGAAAGCAUAAAAAUAAUAUUAAAAUAAUUAAAAAGUAAGUAAAAGUAUAAAAAAAUUUAAAUAAAUGAAAGAUAGUAAAAAAAAUAUUUGGAAUACAUAAGAAGAAAAGAAUGAAGUAGAAUGAAUAGUAAAAAUAAUAAGAAAAGUAAGCAUAAUAAUAGCUGAUUAUACUAAAAAAGUACUGUAACAGUAAUAGCAAAUCAGAAAUAACAAAGUAAAAUAAUAAUAUUUUUUUGCAAUCCAGAGUUAUAGUAGAAAAAAAUAAUAAUAGUAGAAGAUUAAGUGCAGCGGUACAAAAAAUUAAUUAGAAUACAUAUGUAGAACUUAAUAGUAAAAAAAUAAUUUGGAAAAAAAAAAACAAAAGAGCUAUAAGAAAAAAUAAAGCGAGAAAAAAUAGAUGAAGAUACAACAAAAGAAUCACUUAAUAAAAAGAAGAGUUACAGAACCUAACCAGCAAAGAUUUUAAAAAAAUAAAAUAGCUAAGAACCAGAAAAAGCUACAAAAUUAAUAUAAAAAGAAAAAUAGAAGGAUAAAUUAAAAGGAGCAUAUGAUGUUGCUCAAAUUUCUGCUUCUAUUACUGUUGUUUCUACUGCAUCUUCAACCCUUUUUUUUUUUUAUUUGUUUUUCUUACAUAGAAAGAAAAUGAGUACAAACAUAAGAAAAUUAAAAAAUUGUUUCUAUUGUGUACAUGUAAAAUAAAAAUUGAAUAACAUUCUAAACCAUAAAAUUGACAGUUACUUAUGUUUUCAUAGUUGGUAUUGCCGCUGAUACUUUUAAUGCUGGUGAUGCUCCUUCUAAUUUUACUCUAGGCUUAGACUUCAAUAAAUUUUAUUAGUAAUCAAUAAAGAUAAUUUAUACAUUUUAACUGUUACAAAAAUGAAUUGUACCGAAAAGUAAAAAUUACCUCAAUAGUUACUUCAUCGAUUGUUGAGAGAAAUCAAUGGUUGCAACAAUUGUACAAUUGCUAUCCGAUCAGUUUUAUCAUAUAAAAAUUUGUUGAUAUAUAAUCAUAUAAUUAUUCAUUUUUCAUCAUCGUCAAUAACAUAAGAAAUAAAAAACGUAUAUAAUAAAUUUGUAAAAUCUAUUAAAAAGUAAUUAAAAUUAAAAAGGUAAAUAUUAAAAUAAGUGAAAACAUUUAUUUGAAACUAUAUAGAAAUUUUUUAAAUAGCUCUCUAUAAUUGGUAACCAAAAAAUUAAAUAUCUCACUAAUUCCUAAAUUAGAGAAUGUUUCUAUAUUUUUUUCUUGGUUAUUAAUUUUGCCUAGUUGUCAGGGAGCAUAGAUUUAGCGAAAUGAACUAAUUUUUCUAUUGUAAAUAUAUAAGCAGGCACAUUUAAUUUGAAUAGCUCUCUUAUCCAUAAAUUAGAGGAUUAAUAGUAAUUUUUAUUUUUUUCUAAAAAAAUAUGAAUAUAGUAGGUUAAUUAAACUUAAUAUAUAUAAAAGGGUUAUGAAUAGAAACGCUUACAAAUUCAAAACCGAAUGAUCGCAGAAGCCACCAAAAGCAUGCCGACGGUAAGAAAGCAAAAUUCAAAUUUAUUAAAGAAUAUAUAUGCAGUAGGCAAACCAAACUAAGUUUAUAUAGAAAAAUUAUGCACAGAAAAACUUAUAUACUUAAAACCAAAUGACGGCUGAACAACCACCAAUAGUUAACAUAUUCCUAAGUCAAAGAUAUAUCAACAUUAUUUUUUAAAAAACUUUAUAUGAUAGAUAAUCGAAGUUACAAAAAAAAAUAACAAAUAGAAAUCAAUGAUAAAAAUCCUUGAAAACAGAGAAACUGUUGCAGCCAACUGCGGUCAGUUUCCUGAGAUGAAAGAAAUAAUAUUCAGUAUUAAAAAAAUUAUGUUGUAGGCAAAUUGAAAUAUUAAAAAGAAAUAUAAGCAUAGAUUUGAGAUUUCUCACAGAAAAAAUUUUCUAUUCUAUAGGAAUUGUCUUUAUAUCUUCAUUUGAAAUCAGGCAACAGCAUUACAGUUUAUAGUGUCAUCUAAUAAUAUGUUCUUUGAUUAGAGAAAGUUGAGGCAAUUAGAGGUUCGCAAUUGUCUUGGCGUCUACAUUGACCAAUUAAUUACCUGAAAUUCAAGCUUCAAAAUAGUUUAAAAUUUUUAAAAGACAAUUGCAGAAGAAUUAUCGUGGUUCAACUACAAAUUAGCAAUAUAAAAACAAUAAUCAUAACCAAUAAUAAUGUAAGGUGGUGGAGUGCUGACUCUGCAGAUUUCCAGCGAUGACCUUUAGUGUUUUGGCUCGUGCGCGACGUAGGGAGGUCGGAUCACUGUGAAACUUGGUUUAUUGGAUUCUAGACUUCCAAAGAAAUCCAUAAAGCCCUGAAUUACAGAUUUUGGUUGAAGUUAGCUUGGUUGUUUACACGUUUUUCUAGACUGCUGGCAAUAUUGAGCUGAAAUUGAGGAUUUUGAGCUUUUCUUGAUGCUAUCUUUGUAGGCAGUGGACUUUUGGACCUGAGACACAUCAUUCUUCUAUACUUACUGGAUUUGAGACCUUCCUCACCUAAUUUGGAGGUAGUUAGGUGAGUUUUGACAUUGCAAUUGAGAUUAAAUUAAGCCUUAGUGCUGAAAUAGUGUUAAUUGAUGGAAUUCAAUGUGUAGAGCUUGGAGAUAGCUUGAUUUCUGGUGUUGGAGGAUUUUGGUUGAUCCAGCAGGGAUUAGCAUUGGUUCGGGACCCUUCUUUGCUGCCAGGAUUAGCAAUUAAGGUGGGUGUAUCAUUGGUUUCGCUCCUAAGUGCAUGUUUAGUCGACGCGUAUGAUUUUCGGUUCUUGUAUAUCAUGCUUAAUUCAUUGAUUAGCAUCUUGGCUAUAAUAUGAAUAUUGAAGCAUGCUGAAAUGAGUAUUUACAUUAUUCAUGUUGGACUUGGAAAUAUCUUAGGAGAAAAUUGCGUUUUGACCCGUCAUAUGAUUCUACUACCUGAUUUAGCUUUAGGAGCCGUGUUUUGAUUGUAUCAUCGCUGUUUCAACGCGGUGGAUAUCCGGGGUAGUUUAGAAUGCAUUUUACGCUCGUGCUGGGAUGCCGAGCUUAUUUUUACAGCAGAGUCUAGGCUGUUUCGGGUUGUCGGGUGCCGUCGGGGUAGAUGGUGGACCCAGAUUCUUGUUUUGGUCUCAGAUUGUGCCGAGAGCACGUGGGUUUGGUUUCUAGACCUGUUUUGACCCUAGUUAUUUGACUUUGGCUUGUUAGAGCCUGAUUGAGCUCGACAGAGAUACGCUUGCAUACUCGGUUGGGUAGCGCCCACGAGUGCUACUUCGGAGUCGGGCUUUGCGAGUUUGCGUUGGUGUCGUUCGUGCAGGUUGGACUUGCUCUCAACGAACUAGUUAGUGUAGAGGUAGCUGGAUAGUCGCAACCAAGCGGGACGGGUGUGUUCACAGUCCCAGGGACGGGUAUGAUUACAGUCCUUACUUGAGUUUGGGUCUGAGUUGACAUAGUUCUACAGAGGGUUAAGAGUUAGAGCAUGAUAGUAUAGCGAUAUUUAGUUGUAAAUUCGUUCCAGCUUUCUUUACUAUUCCUGCUUAUCCUUGUAGACUUAGUCGGUGGACCGAUGAGUUCGAGGGUGGUACCCACUAAGAACUACUUUUUGUAGUAGUUCUCACGCCUCGUUGUUACCCUGUUUUUGCAGAGCCUUCUGUUCCGGCUGCUGCUACUACCGAGACUGAUCGUGGUAAGGGCGUUGCGAGUUAGAGCCCUUCCAGACAAGUCGCAGAGUUAGAGGAGCACCAGCUACAGGUAGUUGUAGUUUUUGGGUCUUUACAUACAGUUGUUAUAUCUCGCCAGAGCGAGUAGUUGUAUACCUGGAUUACAUGUAUGUAUUGAACCACAGUUUAUAUAUAUAUAUGGUUUAUUUCUUUAGCUGCUCUGUACUACUGUUUGUAGUAUUGUAUGGUUACGGGUGCUUCUAUUUUUUGCUUCGUAUACAGGAAAAAUACUUAUGUAUACGGCGGGUCUGUUAGUGAGCCCGAAAAAACGAGUAAUCCGGGGUGUGACAUAUAUAGGAUAUAGAAAGAAACAGUAAAUAAAUGAAAGGCGGUGAAUGAUUCACCGUCGACUUUAAAAAAAGGGAGAAAGCGGGAAAGAAAUAGAAGAAAGCGAUGAACGAUUCACCGCCUUUAAAAAAAAUUCUGAUGUGGCGCCGACGUGGCGAAAGAAAGAUUAGUUUUUCAAAUAAAAUUUUGAGAGGGUUAUUUCGUAAAUUUUAAAAUUUUAGAGAAUUAUUUUAUUUUAUAAAAAAGUCCCUUGUAAGUCUAUCACUAUGGCAGUUUCGUCAUCUUAUUAUGGCCUCCGAUAAAUCAAUGAAUAAUUAAUGAAUAUAGCUGUAUGUUUAGAGCUUUUACUGUUUUCAGCUUUGGGUCUAUGAUCGACAUAGUGUAAAGAUAACUCAAACAUACAUUUUGGAUUUCAACUCGUUUUAACGUGGUGGUGAUUUAAAAGUAAAAAACAAUAUCAUCAACCCCGAGGUACAUCCGCAGACCUCGAGCGACUCACCGCAUGUUUAAUGAUUCGGAUAUAAAGUUCACAAUAUUUAAAACGUUGAUUCUUUCAACUGUAAAGAAGAGGAUUUAUUUGAUUUGUUGAAAAAUAAUAUAUGAAAUAGAUAGAUUGUAAGAAAAUAAUAUAUAAAAUGUACAAUUUUUUUUUUAGGGGCAAAUAGAUACUGUACAGUGGCACAAAAUAUAUUUAAUAAAUCAGAUUUUCGGUGCAUGGUUUUAAGAUACGCGCUGCAUGGGGUGUAUAUAUAGCUGCAUCUGCGGCGUAUCAACGUCGUACAAUUUGUUCAGCACAUUACAUCUUUUGGCGGAACUUUCCAACCAGACCGAGGGCGAUAGGUGUCGCACUGGGGAUCGAGCACCACAAGUCGUACGAAGUGCAAGCUGGCAGCCCAACCGAGAGGACCCGUUCCCCUCGCGGCAAAAGCUUGAGAUCGCCUCGAUCCGCGUGCCACAUUUUUCCUACCAAUCUUUCCUUUCCUUUGCUUCCUUUCCUUUGCUUCCUACAGUUAUCAAAUGAGGCAUCAACUACAAAGUCAAAUUGAACUGAUUCUAAAAUUAAAAAUUAAAGAAAGUAAUUUUUGGAAUCCAAAACUUACAAAAAAAUCCAUUUAUUUAGAAGAAUAUUAGAAAUAGAGCAAUCGAGGAAGUGAAGCAAAGAUAUUUCAAACUAUCAUACUACCAUAGGUGUGAGAAAAGUAUCAAAGUAGGAAAUCUAAAAGAUGAUUAUCCAAUCCAAUAGUUUUUGAUGUACACAGGCUGCACAUUAUCAAACAACCCAAAAAUAUCAGCCUUCACAAAAUUAAAACCAAAAAAAUAUCAGUGAAAAGUAGAUCCUGAAUCCAUAUCAGUGAAAAGUAGAUCCUGAAUCAAGGAAAAGGGUGCAUACUGUCAAGUGAGGCAUCAACUACAAAGUCAAAUUGAACUGAUUCUAAACUUAAAAAUUAAAGAAAGUAAUUUUUGGAAUCCAAACUUGCACUAUAAAGAAGCCCAACAUCAGCCUCCACAAAACUAAAAAGUUUAAAAUCACAAAUAAAUCAUGAAAAAGUAUAUAUUCAAGCGAGUUGAAAUUAAAUUGAACUGAUCCCAAACUUGAGAAUUAAAGGAAGAAGUGAGUGGAAUCCAAACCUACACUAUAGAGAAGCCCAACAUCACAGUAUAUUUAUGCAAUAACUUUAUUAAAUUUAAAGGAAGAAGUGGGAGAUUAAAAAGCACUAUAGAACAUAGAAAAUCUAGAAGCCACAAUCUGCAGUAAGCGUAGUCAUCAAAAUACAUAUUUAAAUAGACUAGUGAGUAGCUUUAAACCAAAAUGCAAAUAUGAAAUAAGCGACGCAUAGGAACGAGACGGUUACAAAAAUCAUGCGCGCAUACAUAAUCAUGAGUUACAAAAUGAGCAGUAGCAAGGCUCGAAACUUUUCUUUUGACCUUCAACAAUAAAACUAAGGGAGCCGAUGUGCCAUUGGAUGGAUCGGUUUCUGUAUUUGGUGGAAUAGUGUAACGACCCGACCAGCCAGCAAUAAUAACUCAUUGGGCCCAAACAACCGGUCCAAAAUGCUUAAGCUCAGUUAUUAUGUCUAGCCCAAUCAAGCUUAUAUACUUCCACAUCUAGCCAUAACUACCUGAUGUGGGACUGUUGGGGUGUCACAGACUCCCUUCCGUUUAGGCCCUGACGUUCUCGUCAGCCCUGAACACACACACAAUCCAAGAUCACUAGGCGAUGUGAGACUUGUCUCGCUAGCCUUUGUCAUUCUGGCCUUGACUAAGUCUGUCAAUUACCGACCCUGGCUUAGUCUGUCAUUCUGAUCCUGGCUCAGCCAAGACUCAUCUCACAAUUCCAACUGGUGAACUGGCUCUGAUACCAAAUGUAACACUCCGACCAGCCAACAAUAAUAACUCGUUGGGCCCAAACAACAGGCCUAAAAUGCUUAAGCCCAAUUAUUAUAGCUAGCCCAAUCAAGCUUAUAUACUCCGACAUCUAGCCAUAACUAUCCGAUGUAGGACUAUUGGGGUGUCACAAAUAGGAAUCAGACGGUUAAUCACAGCAUGGCACUCUUCAAUAGCACGACGUAUCUGGACAUGCUCGAUCACGAACUCAUUUAUCUGUGCAAGAGUAGCGACGUAACAAUCCUUCACAAAGUUAUACUCACGAACCAAGUUCAUAUACUGUGCGAACAACAUAGCAUACUUUGUGGCUAGAUGAUUGUAUAAAUUUUUGUAAAAGAUACUAUCAUCAAAAUUUACAUCUCUAACUUGCAAAUCUAAUUCCUCCACCAUCCUCUUAGUAGCAACACGAGCAGCAUCAUGCUCAGCCUCAGCAGAUGUGGAGGAUUGCAACCCCCAACAUCGUACAAUUUCAAUUAUAGAUUCAUUUCGUUCAAUCGGAAGAUCUAUAUAUGCCAGGUAAGUCCCCUCUGCAGCGGGAGCAACAACACACUGUGAUGUUUCCAUAUGCAGCUUCUCACAAAUCUCACGGAACAAUCGAAGGUAAGAAAGCUGAACCGUCGACAUAGUAGUAGCUGCAAAAGAAGAAGGCCGAGGAAAAAAGAAAGGGAAAAGGGAGGUAAAAGAGAAGUUAGUUGUAAAAAAAUACCAGGUCUUAAAAAAUAGGGUAAGACAGUUGUUAAAGCUAAAACGCAACAGCAAUUGCAAAAGUAAAUAGUAAAGAAUUAGCAGAGCAAGAAUAGUUGCAAGGAAGACAAAAUAAUAGAGAGCUUAAAAAGUAAUAAAGUAAAAAGCUAAAGGAUUCAUCUUACUUAAAGAAGAACUUUGACAGUAAUAAAGUAAAAAGGGAAAAAGAUUUAGCUUAGGUAAUAAAAGAAGUUUUAAAAAUAUUGAGAAAGUACUGCUGAAAAAAUGCUAUAUAAUGAAACCUUCACAAUAGAGGGUAAGACAGAAUAGUUGGAAAGAAGCCUAAGUAAUAGAGAGCUUAAAAAGUACUAAAGUAAAAAGGAAAAAUGAUUCAGCUUACUUAAAGAAGAAUUUAAAAAGUAGCAAAGUAAAAAAGAAAAAGGAUCGGCCUACGUAAUAAAUGGAGUUUUAAAAAUAUUGAGAAAGACUGCUGAAAAAAUGCUAUGUAAAGAAACCAGGAGAAAGUAUUUGAAAUGAAAGUAAGAAAGUAACCAGAAGAAAAUAUUUGAAAUGAAAGCAAGGCAAAGGCAAGGAAAUCUGCAAGGCUCAGGUAAGGUAGGCAAGUACUUUAAUCCAACAGGAUUGAAGAACCCUCAAGGCAAACAACAGAAUAUUCAUAAUUGAUCUAUCAGUAUUGAAAAGAGGCAUGCAACCCAUCAGCGAAAGAAGAACCCCCAAGGCAAAUAAUCUGAAAAUAGGAAGUGGCUGCCUAUGUUAAGGCCGUCCAAACUUCUAUUUGUUCAUGCCUGCUUUUCGUAACUUUUAGUAUUUUGCAUUCUUUGUGCCUGACUUUCAUCAUUGCCUAGCAGAUGAAAAUAGAAAGUGGUUGCCUGUAAUAAGGCUGUCCAAACUUUUAUUUAGUAUAAGACACCACUUUCUAGCACACGGGCAAGGAAGAAAAUAGAAGGAGUAGGAGCAAAAACCAAAAAGCUAAAAGUCAGUGCAAGUUCGAAAAGACAAUAAAUCGAAACUCAUAAUACGAAAUACAGAAAGAAAGUUGGGCAAAGCCGGCCUUUAAAAAAUCAGUAAAGAUGGCCCAUGAAGAACAGAAAACUUUAUAGCCAUGGUUUUUAGAAAUGAAUAAACCUUUCUACAGAUAGAUAAGAGGAAACCACACUGGCAGUACUCUAUUUCUGUCUUUAUCUAGACAACAUUUAUCUACUACAGAAAUUAAAAGGAGAGGAGAAGCAACCCAAGAACAACCUCUGUGAGUAUGCAGUAAAGUACAAACUAAUGAAGGGGCCUGCAAAACAGCACAACUAUUAUUAGUUAUUAUUAGCAGAAUAAAGAGAGAGUAAUUACACAAGUAAUUAAUGUUUUGAAGUCAGGAAUAUACCUUCUUGUCUUGGAUUGAGGAGUACAAUGUCGCAUGCAGUAAGUAACAAAUGUGUUCAGACCCACAGACCCAUAGGAGUGAAGAGGGUGUGAGUGGUAAGAAUAAUGAUGUAGAAGAUCUUUCUUCAAAAGAAAGAAUCUAUGCAAUCUUUUAAAACUGUAACCAGAUUCAAAACUCUAACCAGAUCUGUAAAAAAAAUAAAAUAAAUAUAAGCAGAUUUGCAAGAACUUCUCAAAAUCAUAGAGGCUAGGUUUAGAUAUAGGAGCAUCUAUAUCGAUGAGGAUUCACUGUAAGAUAGAAGAAAAGCAGCGCAGGGACAAAAAGAAGGGAGAAAAGGGAAAAAUGUAUAAAAUCCAUUCAAAAUCUAAAAGGAGAAGAAAUGAAUAAAAAUGUAUAUAAAAUCCAGUAAAAAUUAGAUAUAAUCCAUUUAAAAAUGCAUAUAAAAUCCAAUAAAAAUAUAAAAGAAGAAGCAAUGAGUAAAAAUUUGUUGGAACUCUCAUAGAUCUAAGGGCAAGAUGUAUAUAAAAAUCCUAAAAAUAUAAAAUAAACCCUCAAAGCUCUAAAAAUAGCCAGGUAGGUUGCUCAUCACCCGCGGUCGAAUGGAGCGGCGAAGCGAUCCAGAGAGGCAUCGGAGUUGGGGACUAUGAAGGAGUGCCAGGAUAGGUCGAUCCAAUCAACCGGGGGAGCGAAGAGAGAGGCCUCGAAAGAGGUGUACAGAGAGAAGUAUGGGCACCAUAGAGAGAAGAGAGAGAGAGGGGAUAGGGCAGUAAUCAGAGAAGAGAGGCAGGAAGAGGAGAGACUGAGAGAGAGAUAGAGGAUAGGGCAGGCAUCAGGAAAGAGAGGCAGGGAGAGAAGAGACGCCUCGAAAGAGGCGUAUACCGAGGAGAGAGAGCGCGAGAGAGAGAGAGGAUAGGGCAGUCAUUAGAAAAGAGAGGCAGGGUGAGUUGAGAGCGAGAGAGAGAUAGAGAAUAGGGUAGGCAUAAGAAAGAAAGGCAGGGAGAGGAAAGACGCCUUGAAAGAGGCGUAUACCGAGAAUAUAGAGCAAGAGAGAGAGAUAGGGAAGCAGAGAGAGACAUAUAGAUAGCGCCUAAAAGAAAAGGAAAAAAGGUUUAUACGACGUGGAGGUGGGAAAAGCCACCACGUAUACUGAGGAAACCGUCAAAUUAUGAAGUUGUAUGGAUACUUUUUUUUAUAUAUUUAUAAUUUUUCAAACAUUUUAUUUUUAUAAUUAUUUUUUCUUACUAUUCAAUCAACCAUUUAUUUAACCUUAUAAAACCACUAUCAUUCAAAUUAUAUAUUAUACAUUUCUUCACUCAACGGUAGAAAACUUAUGAUUAUAAAAAAAAAUAUUAAUUCUAACUAAAUUUUUAAUAUAAUAUAUUUUAAAAUAUACUAAAAAAUAAUUAUUUUCAGUUCGGAUUCUAAAUUCUUUGAUCAAAUUUGAUUUAAGUUAGAAAUUUUCAAAAUUGGAAUUUAGGUUCCAGAUUGGAUUGUCAGUUUGGGUGUGGAUUUUUUAAAAACUCACCCAUCCGAAUCCGACCGUUUGACUUCCCUAACUUAGUUACUUUUUUUUUUUUUAAUACAAAUUUAAUUUUUUAAAAACAAACGAAUAAAUACUAUCUUUUUAUUAAAAAAAAAAAAAAAUCCUCGGUCCAGCUCAACCACUCCCAUUCGCUUCUUCUUCCUCGACUCCAACGCCUCCACAACUUCAUCUCCCUCCCCCCGCCCCUGCAGUCUGUCAUCGCAUCUCCUUUUCUAAUUACAAAGAAGAUGCUGAUGCUGAUAGACUGCUCCCGCUGCCGCACGCCGCUGCAGCUGCCGGCGGGGGCGCGCUGCCUGCGCUGCGUCGUCUGCGGCGCCGUCACCUACGUCGCCGCCGCCGCGGCCGACGGCCCCCCUCCCCCGCCAUCGCCCUCCCCUGAUCGUUCCAAUAAUUAUGGCUUCGGCGCCACCGCCCCUCCGUGGGGGCCUUCGCAGCCCCCGCCCAGCCCCCACGGGCGGAAGAGGGCAGUGAUCUGCGGCAUCGCCUACCGGAACACCCGGAACGAGCUCAGGGGCUCCAUCACCGACGCCGCCUACAUGAAGCACCUCCUCGUCAACCGCUUCAAGUUCCCCGAACCCUCUAUCGUCGUGCUCACGGGUACGCACUUGCUGAAAUUACAGCUCUAAUUUGAUUCUCUUAUGGUGAUGAUGAUGAUGAUGAUGAUGAUUGUGUUGGGGCGAGAGGUUGUUAAAGGAACUUUUAAAUUGUAAUGACUCAGCCCGCUAGUAUUAACACGGACUCAAAAUGUUUAAGCCCACUAGUUGAUAAUGGAAUGCUAGGCCCAAUUAGGGCCGGCAAUCCUGCUUGCUGCUCGCGAGCCAAUUCGUAUUCGGCUCAAAAUGAGCUCGAGAUUGAUCGAUCGUUUAACAACCGACCCGAACACGAUGAAUUUUUCAGCUUGAAAUAUUAACGAGCCGAACACGAGUGCGUCAAUUCACUCAUGUUCAACUCGAUAUAGCUCAAAUCGAUGAUGGAACAUCCGAUUCGACGAUCGGUUUUGUUAGACAAGAUCUGCAGUGUUAGAACUUUUUAGAAACCAAAUUUUGUAAUUUUUUAACUUCGUAUCCUUAAAAUGAACGGCUGGAAAUAAAAAUCUCAUAAAAAAUAAUGAUAACAGACUCAAAUUUUAAACUAGUAGUAUUGAUCUUGCUUUUGAUGUUAAAUAGAAUUUUCUAUUAAAGUUUAUGUAAUUUGGAUUCUUUUACACUGUUGAACUUACAAACGUGCCACAUCGACCGUUAAAAUAGUCAUUUUCAAGACCCUUUGAUCACUUGGUAAAUGAUGUUGAAAAAUUAUGAAAUUUGGUUUCUAAAAUCUAAAUAGUUUUAAUAGCGUAGAUCAUCUCUAACGAAGCCGAUUGUCGAAUUGGAUGUGCUAUUAUCGAAAACAACUUACAAGCAAAAUGACCUCUAUCCUUUAGAAAGCACAAGAGACGUACUCUCUCUCUAUAUAUAUUACAAAUUUCUACUAUUUGGAUUUUAGGUCAACCCAAAUGUAAAUAGACCUAUAUUUUGUGAAUUUUAAAUAUUAGAUUAAGAUUCUAAUUUUUUAAUUCUCUUUAAAAUUUUCAUUUAGUAGCAAGGCUAAUAAUUUAACUUGUUGUUCGCCAGCCUGUUCAGCUCAUUAAUAAACAAGCCGAACACGAGAUAAAUUUUUUAGCUCGAUAUUUUAACGAGCCAGCUCGUGUUCGGCUUGUUAAAUAUAUAAACAAACACUAGACGACUCCAACUCGCUCGUGUUGGGCACGUCGAUAGCCCUAGGCCCAAUCACGAUGUGAGACCUAGCUCACAUUUUUGGCUAGCAAGCUGGCUCUGGUACCACCAAAAUAAUUACCCAGCCUGCUAGUACUAGCAACUUGUUGGGAAGCCUACUUAUUUAUACUAGAGUGCUUUGCAUAUAUACUCCCAUAUUGAGCCUCUUCCCCAUCUAAUAUGAAACUCUUGCUAUGUCAUGCGAUUACUCUAAAGGCUUAAGCUUCCCUAUCCGAUUGGAUUUGAAUUCAGGAUCCGAUUCUUUAAUACAGUGCGAAAGAGCCUACUAUUCUAAAAGUUUAAACAGUUAUAGAACGGCAUUUUUAAUCAUUUAUAUUCAAUAGUUACACUGAACUUUAGGGACUUUCAUUUUCUACACUUUUUUUCUGAAGUUCUUCACAAAUCUUGCAUUAUAUAUGCCAAUCCCUUAAUUUGUUAAUGAAUGAUAGCUGACGUUGGGCACAGUUAUUGUAGUUGGAACCUAUCUACUUUUCUUAGUUAAUUCUUCUCUUAAAUGCAAUAGUUGUCUCUUUUUUUAAAAAAAAAGGAAAUCAAAUGUUGAGUGAAUUGUCUAUUCUCGGAUGCCAUUCAUUUGAGAAGUUAACAGAAUCUCUAAACUUAAUUAAGAAAACUCUUAGAUAUUUAACUCCUGAAAUCAAUCUUACUCAAUCUUCCUAAUUUUCUCCGGAGACUUGGGCUUCUAUGUCUUCAACAUAGUUUGAUUUUCUCCUUCUUGAACUUUGUCACCUUCGUAGAAAACUUCUUGAAUUUUUGCUAGUGUUUUCCCCGCUUCUCGUGUUGUUUUUGCUGUUAAAAUAUUCUCAACCAAUGACAAAUUCACUAUUUGGUAAAUAUAUGGUAAAACUUCUGUCUCUUUCUCUAAAUUUUUCUUUACCAAAUUCUUUCUCAUAAUUUCUAUUCUCUACCACAUCCGACAAAUUUUGGGAUUCUAAAAUACAUUGAACGAUGAUUUUCCAUCGCUUAAUGUUCGUUCCAUUGAACUUUGAUAAGCCAUGUUGAAGAAACCAAUCCAAAUCCAUAAUAGAACUCAAAAAUCCAAAAAGAAUUUUAGAUUCGUACCUUUUUAAUAAGAUGACAUUCUUACUGUAUCGAGAUCUAGCCGAGUUUUCACUUUUCCGUACUUCGACUUGCUUGCCGAGCCCCCUUAGUUAUCUGGUCAAGUCUUCUUUUAUCUCUUCAUAGGCUCUUCUUGCUCUCUUUUCAUCAAGCGUCACAACCACCUACUUUUGUGUUGUUUGUAGGCCGCCUUCUUCGAGGUUGUGUGUUGUUUAGAGGCCGACUUCGUCGAGCGAUUAUUUUAGUUGCUUUCACUUGAACGUCGCCCUCACAAUCUGCUAUGAGUCGUCUAGCUUUGACAUAACUAUUUGGCACUUUGGUUCUAUCUAGCUCUUUUCAGCUUUGUUGUCAUCUGACUUUGAUGUCGUUCAACACUAUACUAUUCUUUCCAUCUCUGAUACCAAUUGUUGAAAUCGGUACUUGCGUUGUUACCGAUUUUAUAAUCCAGGAUCUAAAAUACUAAAAUAGAAUAAUAUGGAAAAGAGACAUUGGAGAAGGAAGAUAAAUAAACUAAUACUUACAUAUUGAGGGACCCUAAUAAAUCUCAACUACUGCUUGGCCCUGGCUUCAUUAAGCCGUCAACUUACCUGGCUCAUAUCUCGGCCGUGAGUUUCUAAUCCACAGGUCCAUACAUAUAUAUAGGCCUCAACAAAGUAUCAAUCCCGAUCUAAAUUCAACUUCAAAUCGUAAUAACAAUCAAAUAAUUGAGCAUUAAACUUAUCUCUAAUUAUACAUUGGAAUUAAAUUUGGAUCAUUAUUCCAACAUGAUGAUCAGAGAAUUUGAGAUAUUUCAAUGGGAACUUCUUCAGCAUUUUCUUUCAACUCUGAACGGAGUUAUCUCUAAAAUGAGAGUGUAGCAGUUUUGGGUGGGUAAGUACGCAGAACUAUUGGAAAGCUCCUUUUCUUUUUGAUUUUGAAUUUAAACCAUAAUAAACUGGUCUGGACGUUUAUUAGUUUAAUAGAAGCCUGGAGCCCUAUUAUCAUACCAUAGAUUUUCUCUUUAGAAAACUAAAUCUUUUGUUUGGAUAUAUAGGCCAUGAAAAUCUCAAUGUCCAUGCAAGUUAAGCUACUUAGAUGGCCCUUUUUGUUUCUGCCGUCAUCAACUCUGAUUUUCAAUUUUCACAAUGAAACCGAACAAGUUUUAUAUACAACCUGGUCUGAAAUUUUUGGAUCUUGACUAAGAACAUUUUUGAUGGUGAGCCUAAAUGCUUAUGACUCUAGCUAUAAGCAGCUCUAACUAAUCGUAUUUUGAUUUUGCAGAUGACCAAACUGAUCCAUAUAGAAUACCAACCAAACAUAAUAUAAGGAUGGCAAUGUAUUGGCUCGUGCAAGGAUGCCAACCAGGAGACUCUUUGGUAUUCCACUACUCUGGUCAUGGUUCACAGCAGAGAAACUAUACCGGCGAUGAGAUUGAUGGUUUUGAUGAGACCCUUUGUCCGUUGGACUUUCAAACACAAGGAAUGAUUGUUGACGAUGAGAUCAACGCGACCAUCGUCAGACCGCUUCCUAGUGGGGUUAAGCUUCAUGCUUUUGUUGAUGCUUGCCACAGUGGCACUGUGCUGGAUUUACCUUUCCUUUGCAGAAUGAAUAGGUCAGUUUUUUUUUUUUUUUUUCUUUUUUUUUUAAGCAGCUUCUAUUCUAGUAGUUAUUUGCUUGUGACACAGUCUUCGUGUGCUUAGAGCUUCUUGUUCAAGAAUUUAAGGUGCCUAUCGGCACGGGCCCUGCCCAACAUGCUGUUCCGUAUCGACAAGAUAUCGGCACAAUACAACCAUCAUGCCAAUGACACAGCUCAAAAUCUUCUUUUAUUUGAAAUUAGUGAAUAGUUAUAUCAAUAGAAUGCAAAAGAUUUAAUAAAAAUAUGUAAUAAGCAAUUAGACUAUAUCGUUGCUGAAGAAAAUAAGUAUUUUAAGCCAUAGUGUGUCAACAUAUAGGUACUUUUUCAAGCGUCAAAUAUCGGUAUGGCAGGGAUGCACCGUGCCAUUCCGUGCGUCUGUGCUAGCAGUUCUUGGCAUGACUCCAUGCCACUCCAUAAAUCCUUGCUUUUGUUGUUUACAAGGCUAAACUUCAAAAUCGGCACUGUGGUAUAGUGCAUUUUCGCGUUGGUGCACUAUGGAUUCUUUUCUAUCACAUAGGUGCCCUGAGUUUGGUAUUGAAAUUAUUCCUCAAGGACCUUUUUUCUAGCCCUGUUGGUAUUUGUGUGUGUUUCCAGUUCAAAUCGUUGUUGGCUCGGUUUUUUUAAGUCUAAACUCAACCGAGAACCCGAAUGCAAGCCCAUCUUAUAAGGGGUUUCUGAUUAAGUUUGAAUCAGAACACGACCUAAGCCCUGACCUAACACGACCCAACCUGUUUAUAUAUAUAUAUAUAUAUAUAUAUAUAUAUAUAUAUAUAUCCGAUCCCAACUAAAAACUUUUGAAGCUCUAAAUCGGGCACCUAAAUUAUACAGAGGAAAUCAAAGGAUGCUGACAUAUUCAUGGGCUAUACUAUUGGAUCAUUUUCUGAAGUUAAUGCUCGUUAUAAACAGAUCCUCCACUUAUAAAGAAUUGUCUAAGAAAGUUUAUAAGUAUUUAAAUUACAGUUUUCAGUUCACUAAAUGUGAACAACUAGCCAAAUGUAAUCAUCAACUUUUUUCUAUUGUUGACUAUGCAGCUGCAAUCUUAACACUCACCUCAAGAUAAAACUUAUCAAUAUGUAUUGUUUAUAUCAAGAAUUUCCACCAUUAGAAUUGCAUUUGAGAUGGUGAAUGAUGUAGAUGAAUUUAAUUUGUUUGGUACUUAUGUAGUAGAGGAGGCUAAUUGUCUUUUUGGUCAAAUAAACUUGAGUUCGGAUAUGUCCAUUUCAUUAAUCCAAAUGCCAUUAGUUUAUGUAUACAGUGGGAACUCCUUGUCAAUUGGGCUUGGAAACAGUUCGUUCGACGCUCAAAAUUGUUUACUUAAAGGGGCCAACAUCCUGCCCUGUGGUGGGAGGCUAGGUUGGGCCAAGUCACGUUCGAAAUGGCGGGAAGUCGAGUUGGGCCGGAUCAUGUUCAAAGUGGUGCGAUGUUGGUUGGGUCGAGACACAAUCGAGACCUGUAGGCGCUGUAUCUAUACGUUUAAGUGAAUUAGUUGUGUUUUUCUAACAGCUCGAGCUUUUGGGCUUAAUGGCUAACGCCAACGAUCAGACAAAAAUGUCAUAGAAGCUCUUUACUUGGAAGUUCUAACUAUCUUCACUAACAAACUUAGAAAAUUAGGCCUUGUUUGGUUACACUUCUCUUUUCCUUUUAAUUUUUAAUCACAAAUUCUGUGGGAUAGAGUUUUCCGAUGUUUGAUGACGUUUUGGUUCUCGUUUCUGUUGGUUAGCAUGCAAACUCAUCUUCUUAAGAAAAAGAAACGAGAAUGUUGCUACUAAAAUUUUCACUUUGUUGUUCGUACGUAGUCAUAACAAUUGUGAUAUGCCAGCAUACACCAUAGCAUAAAAUUGAGUUUCAAACAUUCUUCCUUUGUGUCAACAUUCAGCAUUCCGAUAAACUUCUUCCUUCUUUGCCGAUUUAUCAACAUCGAAGUGCAGUUAUAAGGUCAAACUUUUCGCGCUUUUGCUUGGUUGAGAAGCAUUUUGUUAGUUAUGAGAUUUGUAGAUGUUGAUAUGUUAUCAUUCUUGAUUUUUUCAGAGAGCUAGUAAGUUUAUGUUAUCCAUACUGAUGUAGGAGCGGCCAAUAUGUAUGGGAGGACCAUCGGCCCCGUUCUGGAACCUGGAAAGGUACCAGCGGCGGAGAAGUGAUCUCCUUUAGUGGUUGUGCUGACAAUCAAACCUCUGCUGAUACCUCAGUAAGUCUGUUACUCCUGAAUUCAGUUUAGGACAGCUUAUUAGUUGACUAUUAAGAAAAUCUUGAUUUGACAGCAGGUUGGCGAGUUUUCAACGAAUGGAGAUUAAUAAACCAGACAUGAAGUGUCGUUUGUCAUUCGUGUGAUGGUUUAAAUUGCAUUCUCAUAUCUUCUGCUUAGUGGUAGCAGCCGGCCAAGCUGUUGAAUUUCUUCUAGCUUUGAUGAAUAACAACUCUUUCAAACGACAAGAAACUAUGCUAGUUUGAGAAUUUGGUAAAAUGAAAAUUGAUAUUCCUACAGCAGAUCCAAGUUGAACUGAAAUGUCUUAUGACAUGAUGAAACAAUAACUAUAACCAAUGAGCGAUUUCGAAAAUCCCUGUUGUUUGUUGAGUGUUGAUGUUGUCUCUGAGAAAUUUAAGCUAAAGCUCGAGAAACUUUUCAUGCGAAGUGGGAGAAGUUUUUGUCAAUUUGUUCAUGGCUUUCUACACUAGAAGAUGUAAUCUAUGAUUCUAACGAUUUACGUCAACCUGGACUCAUUCAUUGUUGUUGUUAUCUCUCUCUAUUUUUGUCGCAAAUAUUUCUUCACGAAAACCUUUGCAAUCACUAAUUGAAGUACAUGGCAUAUGAACCGGCAGGCAUUUUCGAGGGUCACCGCAUCAGGUGCCAUGACCUAUUGCUUUAUUCUGGCGAUUGAGAAGGGUCACGGCACCACAUACGGAAGCAUACUAAACUACAUUCGAUCGACCAUCAGAAGCACUGGAGAUGCCAUCAGCGGAGGCCCCAUAACGACUCUUCUCUCCAUGUUGUUAACCGGAGGUAGUCCACUUGGAGGACUGAGGCAGGUAAUUUUCUCUUCUUAUCUUGUUUAAUGCACUCUUUUGUUCAAAUUAAACAUUUUACUCGAUCGGGCCGACACUGCAAUAAACUGUAAUGGAGAGUUUCAGAAUAAUGCUACAUUAUGAAUGCAUUUCGGCACAUUUCGUUUUGGUUUGCAGGAGCCACAGUUGACGUCCAACGAACCCUUCGACGUUUACAUGAAGCCAUUCUCUCUAUGAAUUGCAUUCAGAUGAUCUUCCACAUUAGUUUCAUGGACAGAUGUAAGUAUACUUGUGUUUCAGUGAUUCAUUAUUUAUGCAACGAUUUUAGUUUCGUACAUAACAUAGUGAAAGAUUGGGUAAAGCCGUUAAGGCCCUUUCUAGGGUUCCCAUUGAAUAUAUAAUGAAUACAAUUACAGAAAACACCUUAUAGUACAGAUUGUGUUCAAGGUGUUGAAUAUUAUUUAUUACUAUUAUGAAAGCACAGUUGGGAUUCCCCCUCUUAUUUUUUGACAAUCUCUUUUAUAUCUUUUGCUGUAUAACCUAUUUUUAAGUAGCCAAUAUUAUAAAAUUAAAAUUUUAAUUUAGUGUAUGCAAUCUAAACCAUAUAGAAAGGCUAUAUGCAAAGAAUUACAGAAUUUGAAUUUUUAUAAUGAGGUUUUAAAAAUAUAGUGCAUAAAAAUUAGUUUUACACCCGGUUUAUUUAGCUUUUUUUUUUUUUUAUUUUUGUUAUGCUUUUACUAUUUCUUCUUUCUUAGCUUAUUUUAUUUAUUUGUUUAUAUGGAAUCGACACACAGCAACACGCUUGAAUGCCUUCGCUAGUUAUUAUUAUAGCAUUAAAACACAGUUCUCUAGCAGCUAAAAUUUUAAAGAUAAAUGAUUGUUUCAUAUUAUUUUAUACAGUAUCUGAGCGGUUUGGCGUAGAUUCUUAUCGAAGCUAAAUGAUUAGACCCUGCUUGGUAUUGUACCUUUUGAAGUGGAUCUUCUUUGAAAAAUGCAAAGAAUCAGAAAAAGAGUCAUUAAAUUGAGGAAUUUGGGAUCUGCAAGUACACCCCAUGUUACCACAAGCGCACAAACAAAAAUUAAAAAAGAAAAAGUGAUCUCAAAGUAGACAAAUCAGAAACAAUAAAAAAAAAAUAGGACACAGAUUUAUGUGAAAAAAAUUUUGCAGGAAAAAAAAAAUUAUGGAUGAAAGAGGAAAGAACUUCACUAUUGGAUCGUUUGAUUGUAUAUAGUUGUAAUUGUACUACAGUGGUAACUGCAUGCAAAUAUAAAUUCGGCGUUUGGUUUGAUAUCUUUAACUAUAACUGUUUCAGUAGAAACCAUAGGAGGAGGCCGAACUAUAUCAGUUGGGACUGCGCUCAAAUUAACCGCAGUUCCAAUUGCAACAGUUGAAGAGAGUAAUUUAAAUAAAAGAUAAGCUUACUUCUCUAAUUAUUUUUUAAAUAAAAAAAAAUAUUAUUUAUAUUGGAGGUAAUCUCACCAUUAUAUGUAUAAAAUAAUAAAAUUUUAAAAAUUAUUUCUCAAGUGCAUGUAAUCAAACAGAUUAUUUGUAGUUGGAGCACUUUUUGCUACAUUCAACUAAAUAAAAUGCAUAUACUUGCAAUUGUUGCAUUUUCAACUGUAUGCAUUUUCAAUUAUACUGUAUUUAUAAUUACAUCUAACUAAGUCCCAAUACAGAAGAGAGAGUAUGUACAAUACUGUGAAAAAGUACUAUUCACUGUAUCGAGCCUCUAAGAUAAAAAGGAAAAAAAAAGUUUCUUAACGGAUAUUUUCAAUAUCGGAUCCAAGUGCAGCAUCUUCCCAAUGUGCAAAUGGGGAAUUCGAAAACUUGUGCAAUUUGAGUUUACAUUAAUUACAUUUAAUUUUUAUUUUUUCAGUUGUAGGCCCUUUAUUCUGUAUUCCGACAAAAAUUGAAAUUGCUUGGGGAUGAAAUUUCAAAUUGUCAAUUUGAGACUGUGGGAUCCAUGGAAAAUCUAAUACACAUUUAAAAUAAAAAACAAAAAAAAUAAUUAAAAGUUAAAAUAGUUAUUUAGAUAAUUUUUAGUUUCUGCAUUUAAUGUCAGUUUUCAAAAUCUUAAAUUUAACAUUUUUGAAAUUCUUAUUUAUAUUAUUUUGGAUUUUAUUUAUAAUACUUGAAAACCCACCAAGGAUUGUCUAAACUCUUGAUGGGAUUAUCUGAAAAACUAUUUUAAUUUGAAAUUAAAAAUUUAUUUUUUUUAAUAUGUAUUAGAUUUUUUUUUAAAUUAAUUAGCACGUCCAAAAAGUUCGAACCUUUUAAGUGCUGAAGAGAGGCUGACAUCAAUAUCCGUUCUGAUUAAGUAGGGCGUCUCGAGAUGUGAGAUCCGACGCUCACAUAGCGGUAGAUUCUACGGUCUCAAAUGGAUAGUUUAGGGUCUAUAUCGUUCUAUUUAACCUGUAAUUAAGAGCUCAAGUACUAAAUUUACGCAUACGCAGAGACUCGAAGCUGUGUUGUAUAAUACGAUAUUAAAGUGUCAAAUGAAUUUAAUAUAAUAUUAAGAGCUUCAUAACUCAGUUUUAUCUUUCACUUGCAUUCCUUUUUGAAACUCAAAUUAUUUUUUAAAUUAAUUAUCUACUAAUCAUAAGUUUUGUUGCUUAGCUAACUAGUCAUUAGUACUAGAAUUCCCUUAUAUACUCAUCCGCAAUCUUUUUCUCACCCAAUAUUUAUAGGACUAUAUCGUUUUAUCACAAUUACAUACAGUAUUAAGCAUCUGCUUUCAUGCUCUGAAAAGCUUAAAUAUAUAAAAGUGCUUUAAAUCUUCUAUUAAUACUGUAAAAUGGUAGUAGGAGUAUGAGUACAAAGAUCUUCAUUCUCGAGGAAGCUUAAUUACAGUAACUCUACUCUUGCAUAUAGUGUCUACAAAUAAAGAAACGAUAGUUAUUUCGUAUUAUUUCACAUAGUAUCAUAGCAGAAGGUUCUGAUCGAAUUCGAAUUCCGCCAAAUUUCUAGCAUUAAUUAUUUAAUUCCAUAUCUUUGAUUUAUUAAAAACUUUCGAGCUCAGACGUAAGAAAGUAUGUUGAAUAUAAAAUAGAUAAAUGUUAAUUGUUCUCUGAUAGCUUAAGCUAUUGGUAGAUAAACAGUUGUUUUUAUAUAAUUUCACAUUAAUUCCUUAUGAAUAGGAAGAUAUUAAUGGCCAAACUUUUCAAUAAAUAAAAUCACAAAAUUUGACCAUAAUUUCGGUGGCCUAAAUGAUCUCAAAAUACCUUGGAACUCUUUAUUAGACUUAGCCAACUAGUCCUUAAUACUAGAAUGUUCUUUAUAUACUCAUACACAAUCUUUUUUUCUAAUCCAAUAUAAGCAUAUUGGGUUAUCACAAUUAUGUACAGUGUCAAAUUAAGCACCCGCUUUCAUGUUCGGAAAAGCUCGUAAAUAUAAAAGCGCUUUAAAUCUUCCAUUAACACUAUAAAAUAGUAGGAGUAUAUGAGUACAAAGUGUCUGAUCGUUGACGCUAACCAUUAAUCUCCAAAAACUCGAGCUAUUAAAAAUACGCAACUAAUUUACUUAAAGUGUACUAGAUACAGCAUCCUCGGAUUUCGAUUGUGACUCAACCCAAUUAGCUCCACGCUUCUUUGAACAUGAUUCGGCUUGAUCCGAUCUCCCGCUAUUUUGAACGUGACUGGGUCCCACCUGGCCUCCUGACACAGUGUACGAUGCUGGUUUCUUUAAGCCAACACAGAGAUCUUUAUUCUUGUGAAAGCUAAGUACAGCAACUUUACUCUUAUAUAUGAUGUCUACAGAUUAAGAAACAGCAGCAUGGAAAUGGGGCAUGCUUGGGCUCCACGCCUCUUAGCAAAAGACUAGAAGAGCAGUUGCAUACUAUAUAUGAAUGGGGUGAUCAGUGCAUCAGAAAAACUGACUCAUAAACUGACUCAAACUGCUGCAAAAACCUCCAUAUAAAUAGGCAAAGAUUGUGUGGUCCUCAUGUAAAUGCCAUAUAUAUGUACUACAAAGGGUGAAACUGUGUGGACACCCCCCAACUAUAGAACAUUUAGAAAUGGGCCCUUGACCAUUUCUUUUUCUUUUCUAUAAAGAUAUUUGUGGGCCACGCGCGGACGCUCGUCAAUGUUUGGAAUUUGGAUUGAUUUGUAUUUGCAUUUUACACUGUAGUUUGAAAUGCAGCAAACUAAUAUGUAGGCCCUUAAUUAGAGCAGUAUUCGUACUCGAGAUUUAACAUUCAAGGUCAAGGAUAUUGACCAACUAUUAUACUCUGUAUAGUAGUGACAAUAGGCCCUCUAACAUUUUUUUGGUUUUGAGACUCUUGUUUUUAGCCCUUUGAUAUAAGGUACAAAUUAGUAAUACACCUUUAUUAACUCCAAAUUCUUUUAGAAUAAUAAUGUAAAAUAACUGUUUGUCUCUGAUUAAAAGAAGGGAGAGUGAUGUUUUUAAUAUUUUGUAUUCAACACUUUCUGCUCACGUCUUAGUUCAAUAUUUUUGAAUAGACUCAAGCCAUGAAAUUGAAUUAAGUCUAAAAAAAUUAAAACUGGUUAAGCUCAGAGCCUGACGGGAUUCAAACUCACAAAGAUUAUAUGAAAAAACAAAUUACCUUAAAAACUUAAUCUAUUAGAGAAAACUAGUCUUUGAAUAUAUAUAUUUGUUUGCCCUGCACAUUUUCACCAUGAGGAGAGAGCCAACCCCACAAGUUUCAUAAGCUAGCUGAGAUGCAUCACAAAAGUGACAGCUUUGCCAUCUUCUACCAGUAGUUAAUGAAGAAGAAAGAAAGGAAGGGUGACAAAGGCUCACAUUUUUAAAGUAUUUUUUUCAAAAGAAAAGGAAAGCCACCAUUCCAGUUAUUUGCAGGAACGAGGGUGGAUAUACUUUUAUAUAUUUUGAUAUAUAUAUGUAUAUAUUAAUAUAUAUAUAUAUAAUAUAUAUAUAUCAUAAAUGGGGACGGUGAAGUAUGGUCAAAGAGAAGUUUCAAAUGAGAAGUUAAACUAUAUAUGACAAGAUAGCCAUAGAGAGAGAGAGAGAGAGAGAGAGAGUGAGGGGAUGUUGCAUGCUAGUAUAUGUGAAGAGGUAUAGCAUAAACAUGUGUGCACUUGUUUCAUUGAUAUCUUUGUGUAAUCUCUUGGGAUCUCCUGUGAGAACGACAGUAGAAGACACAUGCAUGAUUACACCAAAGAAACUUGUAGUUUUUGUACCAACCCUUUAUUAGAGUAGAGCUGCUCCUCCAUAGGAUCUCUCUGGCCUAUAUAAGUUACUAGUUAGGCAAUCUCUUCCCUAGAGAGAGAGAGAGAGAGAGAGAGAGAGAGAGAGGAUAGUGUAGCUAUCAGAUGAACUAAAGAAUUAUCUCAUACAAAGAAAAUUUUCUACGCAUGGAGAUGUAGAGAAUCUGUGGUUGGGGAAGGAGGAGCAAAAAGGAAACAAAAAUGUUAUGAACUUCUUUAGAAAAUCAAGAAAAGAUUAAGAAAAAAAAAAACAAUUACAAACAAAAAGGUUGCCUGUGGAUGGUGUUCAAAGAAAAAAAAAAGGGAAAAGUUCAAAAAAAAUCUCUAUGUUACGCAUUUGCAGUUUACUAUCAUAUAACUCAAAGUAUCUCAUUUGACUAUAUAUAUAUAUAUAUAUAUAUAUAUAGAGUGAGGCUACUAUGCUAUCGGAAGCACGGAGCCAUCCGUGCUUCCACUUUAUUUUCGAUGUUCGGACUUUCGAAUCGUCGAUCGGCUUCGUUAGACUUGAUCUAGAGUAUUUGAAGUACCUAGAAAAUAAAUUUUAUGAUUUUUCGAUAUUAUUUGCCUAGUGAACGAAGGGGCUCAAAAUCAACGGCUGAAAAUAAAAAUCUUACAAAAUUUAAUAAUAUGACAUUAAAAUUUUAAAUCAAAUAUAUUGAUCUUGUUUUAUAUAGUAUAAAGAAUUUUCUAUCAAAAUUUCACGUGAUUUGGAUAUUUCUACACCGUUAAACUUGCAACCGG